rnacentral:tRNA from 3 species
GGGCGCAUAGCUCAGGGGUAGAGCACUGUAUUGACAUUGCAGGGGUCGGAAGUUCAAAUCUUCCUGUGCCCACCA